rnacentral:rRNA from 1 species
UGGGGAAUAUUGGACAAUGGGCGCAAGCCUGAUCCAGCCAUGCCGCGUGUAUGAUGAAGGCCCUAGGGUUGUAAAGUCCUUUUAACGGGGAAGAUAAUGACGGUACCCGUAGAAUAAGCCCCGGCUAACUUCGUGCCAGCAGCCGCGGUAAUACGAAGGGGGCUAGCGUUGCUCGGAAUUACUGGGCGUAAAGCGCACGUAGGCGGACCGAUAAGUCGGGGGUGAAAUCCUGGAGCUCAACUCCAGAACUGCCUUCGAAACUGCCGGUCUUGAGUUCGGGAGAGGUGAGUGGAACUGCGAGUGUAGAGGUGAAAUUCGUAGAUAUUCGCAAGAACACCAGUGGCGAAGGCGGCUCACUGGCCCGAUACUGACGCUGAGGUGCGAAAGCGUGGGGAGCAAACA